rnacentral:rRNA from 1 species
CAAUAGCGUAUAUUAAAGUUGUUGCAGUUAAAAAGCUCGUAGUUGGAUUUCUGAAUGGAUGCCGAUGCCCGCCUGUUGGCGUGUGCAAAGGUGCCCGUUCAUCCUUCUGUUAAGGUUUCUUAGUAUUCAUUUACUGGUUUCCGGCUCAGAUAUUUUACCUUGAAUAAAUUAGAGUGUUUCAGGCAAGCUUGGUCUUGAAUACAUUAGCAUGGAAUAAUAGAAUAGGACUCUAGAUCCUUUGUUGGUUUCUGGAUUUGGAGUAAUGAUUAAUAGGGAUAGUUGGGGGCAUUAGUAUUUAAUUGUCAGAGGUGAAAUUCUUGGAUUUAUUAAAGACUAACUUAUGCGAAAGCAUUUGCCAAGGAUGUUUNCAUUAG